GUCCACGCCGUAAACUAUGAGAACUAGCCGUUGGAGCCCUUGAGGCUUUGGUGGCGAAGCUAACGCGAUAAGUUCUCCGCCUGGGGAGUACGGCCGCAAGGUUAAACUCAAAUGAAUUGACGGGGGCCCGCACAAGCGGUGGAGCAUGUUGUUUAAUUCGAUGCAACGCGAAGAACCUUACCACCCCCUUGACAUCCUCAGAACUUUCCAGAGAUGGAUUGGUGCCUUCGGGAACUGAGAGACAGGUGCUGCAUGGCUGUCGU
rnacentral:rRNA from 1 species